UUAGUUGCCUUUUAAUUUUUUGUUGUUAUUUGACUUGUCAUCCUCUAAUUACUUUAUUGUAUGCUGUACAAAGGUUGCUGGAAAUGAAAACCCUUCAACUCUUAUUUGCUUUGUAUCAAAGAUUACCAAUGCAGGACAGAUUACAUUGAAGUUACAUGUGACUGAACUUGGUGCCCAACCAGGUUUGCUCCUAGCAUUGACCUGAAUUUCAGCUUCAUGUUGUUCCAUUGUUUCACUCCACAUGUUCUUGCCCCUCUAGAAAUAGAGAUGACAUUAAUAGUUCUCUAUUGUAGCAGAUCAGUGUUGGUUGUCUUUACCUGCAGCAGAAAGAAAUCCAUGGUUAUAUCGGCUCUUGUGAGUUGAUUGUUGACUCGGAUGGUGUUUUGGAUUGGUAGUCCAUUAUAGUUUUAGCCUUGUCAUUGGUGGAAGACAUGGGAUCCACCCAAUAAGUGAUAGGACCCUCUAUUUUUCUUGUAGGCGCUCUAUUUUAGCCUCGAAUAAGAAGCUAAAAAAGGUGAGCUCUA